rnacentral:lncRNA from 1 species
CCUACAAUGUGCUUCUCAGAAACUGGUUUCCUUGAAUAGAUAUGUUUGGGAAAUAAUGAAAAAGACAUAUUCCUUCUGGGCAUUCACACCCGACAGUAGCCUAUGAAAGGCUCUGAUAAGUUCUGCAUUAAAAAAAAAAUCUUAAUUUAAAGCAUUUCCCACAUAUAUUUGACUGGAGACCCUCAAUUUUGGGGGGACAAAAAUCUAAUAAUAUUUUUCAGCAAUGUUUUAAGGGGCAUAAUUUGAGGGGAAAAAAUAAGACCUAACCCAAUCUCUUUUUUUUUUUUUUUUACAACAAAACAAAACAAAACACACACUUGAAGCUCAGAAUGAGGACUUGACUUCCUCAAGAUCAAAGAGCUUGUGAGGAAGUUACAGCCUGCACCAGAUCCUACGGAAUGUGCACAUUUCUCUAAACAUCUCAGCUGGGAUCAUCAUCCCCUGGAGCAUGCGGAUUUAGAAGCUGGCUGGAGUAUGGCUUGAAGAGAAACAUGCAAGGACUCUUGCGGGUCUUUGAACUGAAGAUCCCAACGGACGGAGGAGAAGUGGCUCAGAAGGGCUCUUGAGCAUCUAAUCCAUUUGCGGCUGUCACUGCCUCCUGGCUUUAUAAAAUAAAGGACAACAUGAAGCCUGUGAAAGAUGCCAUCCAUCCUUCUGGUGGCCCCAAAGUCCAAGCCCACUAGACUCUGCGAAUUGCCCAUCAUGGAGGAGGAGGCCCUGAAGUUUCCAACUUUAUCCUU